rnacentral:rRNA from 1 species
UACAGAGGGGGCAAGCGUUGUCCGGAAUUACUGGGCGUACAGCGCGCGCAGGCGGACUCCCACGUGCCGUGUGACAAGCCACCGCUCAACGGUGGAGGGCCAGGGUACACGAGGGGUCUGGAGGCAGGGAGAGGGAUGUGGAAUGCCCGGUGGAGCGGUGAAAUGCGUAGAUAUGCGGAGGAACACCGAUGGCGAAGGCAAUCCCCUGGGCCUGCACUGACGCUCAUGCACGAAAGCGUGGGGAGCAAACAGG